AAAAAAUUAGUUAAAUUAUAACAUUAGUUUGUCAUACUAAAAUUAUUAAAAAAUUAAUAUUUUUUA
rnacentral:tRNA from 3 species